ACUCCUACGGGAGGCAGCAGUGGGGAAUAUUGCACAAUGGGCGCAAGCCUGAUGCAGCAACGCCGCGUGAGUGAAGAAGGCCUUCGGGUCGUAAAGCUCUGUCCUGUGGGACGAAACAAAUGACGGUACCACAGGAGGAAGCCCCGGCUAACUACGUGCCAGCAGCCGCGGUAAUACGUAGGGGGCAAGCGUUAUCCGGAAUCACUGGGCGUAAAGGGUGCGUAGGUGGCCUAUCAAGUCAGAAGUGAAAGGCAGUGGCUUAACCACUGUAAGCUUUUGAAACUGAUGGGCUUGAGUGCAGGAGAGGUAAGUGGAAUUCCUAGUGUAGCGGUGAAAUGCGUAGAUAUUAGGAGGAACACCAGUGGCGAAGGCGACUUACUGGACUGUAACUGACACUGAGGCACGAAAGCGUGGGGAGCGAACAGGAUUAGAUACCCUGGUAGUC
rnacentral:rRNA from 1 species